CUUCUUCCCAUCAUCAAAAGCAACAGACACAACAGGUGAGCCUUCAAAAACUUCUACAACUGUCCCUAUAUGCCAGGUAUUAUCAGACGAAUGAUGAAUUUCCACUCUCUUUCCUUUUGCAUCUUUUCCCAACUUCUGCAGUAUCCAGUUAGCAUCCAAAAACUCAUCCAUUGUAUUGUCUUCAUAUUGCUGUGAUAAAUUUUCAUCAGCCCAGGUUGAUGAUUUUUCUCCAAAGGCUGGUGCUCUCUUUCUUUUAGACCUCUGGCCCUUAACCACGCUUUUAUGCUCCUCUCCUGGAGAAGCCCAGGCAUUUUGACUUUCAUGGCAAGGAUUCUUGAGCUUUAGGAGAGGUUUUGGAUCCUUUCUCGCUGAAUUUGAUACUGAAGGUGUGCUAUUUUUCAAGUCAUUUAGGUCAUCACAAGAAGCG
rnacentral:misc_RNA from 1 species